GCGGGGGUCGCAUAGCAUGGCCGAUUGCGCCGGGCUUAGGACCCGGUUCCGAAGGGAUUCGUCGAUUCAAAUUCGACCCCCCGCACCA
rnacentral:tRNA from 5 species